CCUGCAGCUAGCAGAACAAUGAAAACAUCCAAACCUAAUGACUGCAGCCGAUCUUCGGGGCUGAAAGCAGCAUCCAGUAUUUCGUGUCUCUGCUCCUCUGCUGCAUCCAGUCGCUGUUUGACCUGCUGUCUCCACAUCUCUGAGUUCAUCAACUGCUGCUGUUUCUAUCUUACAUCUUUAUUAACUCUCCCGCUGCUG